rfam:Trachymyrmex cornetzi contig20850, whole genome shotgun sequence.
AAAACGGUCCUUUUCAGGGCCAAUUUUAAUUUAUAGAAGAUUUAAU